rnacentral:rRNA from 1 species
UGGAGCCGCUGAGGGAAGGGGGUGACAAGUGGGCCGUGGAGUGGACCCGCUGAAGGAGGUAAGGGAGGUGGUUUCUGCGAGUGAUGAGGGGCCUGCCGCCGUUACCUCGUUCGCUUGGGCGCCCGCCCCAGCCGCUCCUUGUCCUUCCACCACGACGCCCUAAUGUAGUCGGCGCGUGGCUCCCUCCUGCUGUACCGCGAGCAGCUGCCGCCGCGGCACGGCGACGCGCAGGGGCUCCCGCGGCGGCCGGGCCGGCACGACCACUUCUUGGAGAUGGAGAGGACGCUGGGGAUGUACGCGCCGGCCUACGCCCUGAAGGUGCCGAGGAUGUAGGGGGGCAAGUUCGGGCCUAGACAAUAUCUUCCCGACCCGCACCGCUCUCACCACCUGAGGUGAGUAGGCCCCAAGCAACGGCCACUGUAACAAAGCCCUUACUGACCGACCCUCCUUAUGUCGAACUAACUGUUUGGACUUGUCGACUUAUUCUAAGUCGUUUCGCUGUAGGGUGAGAGGAUAGUAAACCCCGAAGAGCCGUACGGACCAAAAUGUCGAAUACAACCUAAGAUGCUUUAGACGAGUGGCUUCUUUCCUCUUAAACAGAAACAAAGACGACGUAGACCUCGUCAACCAGUCUAACAACCAGUUGAACGUUUCGAUGUACCGACGAUACAACAGCCUUCACGGCCUUGUUUAGUCUUUCAACUUGAGGAUUUUCUAUUCAAACCUAAGCUACUUCGAAAAUUAAUGUUUCUCCUCGGACUGAACUGACGUCGGGAUUUUUCCAUGAAAGGACUUCCAUAACUGUAGAUGAAGCUCUUACAUCCGCCUGGUUACGAUCUACGACAUGAGGAAUUGUACGCCUACGUACCAGCGUAUCGUCAUACACCCUACCAGAGGGUCGUGCCGUACUGACUAGGAAGUCCCUAGGUGUUGGAGAAGACAGACCACGGCUUUGCCUAGUCAUACUUCCCGAAGUAGGUCUCACUAAUGUAGUUCAAUAAGGGUGUCAAGCAGCUAAUGUACUGGUUCGUAAUGUUCCUACCGUUCUAACUUAUACAUCUUCUGUACUCGUAGCCCGAUCUCUUACGCGGUCGACGGAAACAACCAGAUAAGUCACCAUUUUUACAUCCGUUUGUUCAGCACACGCAGAGUGUUCUCACUUCAUGUAGAUGUAAGACUACUUAUAAUGCUGAUAGAGUACUAAGUUUAUGAUUAUUUCUAACACUUCGCGAGCACAACUACGCGUUAAUCGACUAGAACAGGUGCGGAACGGGUUAUAGUCACAAAAAAAUUAGAUAUUAAUUGUUCGGUACCAAACUAGGAGUUAGGUUCACGGAUGAUCCUGGUACCCUUCAACAGAAAUGAGAACUGUUUCUACAUCAACAGAUCGAGAGAUCGACAGACAGAGUGUACGGAAUCAAAAAGAUCGGAGUAUUUAACUACUACACUAUGCAGUCACGUCUUUCAAGAUGGCGAUAAAAUUCACCACAAGUCAAGUAAUCUUACGAAUGAACCAAUCUGACCCUACCACUCGACCGGUCAGAAAGAAGGCACACGAACGAUGAGGGGGUAAGCCAUCUGGGCUCCUUAAUUAAUCGUCUUCUUUUCAGAAACGAGAUCACUGCCCUAACAGUGAAAAUUCUUGACACGGACAAGUUGAUUCGUCCACCACCGACCGAAGAUGAAACCGAACCAGUAGACGACUCAAAAGACUUCGUGGAGUAGAACACAAACGUACUUUAGUUGUUCCACUGAAAGCUUAACUGUUCGGCGUUGAAAACCGGCUCGUCGACAAACAAAGCAAGGUGCAAACGCUACUGAAUAGUAUAGUUCAAGGAGGAAAACAAAGACGAGAAAUCCUCGAGUAGCAGAACAAAACCAAAAGUUGAACUAUAGGUCACGGACAACAGACACGUUCUUAGUCACUAACUAAGGUUUCCUUAUGAGUACAGGAGUACCCUAAAACAACGGUUAUGUUGUCUACCAAUGUAUACGGCUAAGUGACCGCACCUUACGACCGUGGGUCUGCUCUUGUUCCAAAUGCGAAACGCAGAGCCGUUGGAUCCCGAACUUCCGGGUAAAGGAGUUCCAGAAGUUUUAACGUGUUCGAACUUGUACAACCUGGACAGUUCGUUGUUAAAAAGUCCUGGCUAGGGAGGAUUGUAGAGUACCGUCGACAGCAUAGACAGUAGAGACCUAGAAAGGAAGUUAUUUAAAAGUCUUCAAAUAACUAAGUAUGAAACGACCUUUGGUCCUCGAAACACCAUGUGGUGACAUGUUCACAGGAUCCUCCUCUACCUCUGGCUCUGCUUAGUCCGACUGGUCGUAGUUACUAGUCAGGUCGUAGCCUCGUCGACAGCCUAAACAGCACCCCAAGCACCACCGGAAGAUGAAGGGCGUAACGAAGUAGAAGAGACUCUCCGAGUCCCACACAAACCAUCCCACAUACUUCCCACGUACUCGGGUUCAAGGGAAGAGCUGGGUGAAAACCCACAAACCAUCUCACAUACCUCCUACGUACUCAGGUGUGAUCGAAUCGUGUUUAUGUGAUCUUCGUACGUACUUUUCUCGUACGUACUUCUCCCCACAACUCAACUCGUACGUACUUUUCCCUUGUUGAUACGACUCUGCUCUUGCGUUGGUUUGUGUGGGAGUGACGAAUGCAACAGGCCUAUUAUACUGGGUGAACAAGACCUUGAAACAGACGGUAGUUGAAGGCCUCCGGUUUCUUCGUGAAGGUUGUCGUUGAGGUCAAAAGAAGGAGUCUCAUUGUCAAGUGGUUGUACAUAUGGACCAUGGGAUCACUCACAUCACAAAAAAGAAGUGAACAUUACACUACUCAGGUUAAACACACUAUCAAAAUGAUACAUUACGUUUACCACGUUGCGUAAGAGAAUUUCUUUUCUCACUACGUGCCUUAUUGUCCAAUAUUUGAACAUUACUAGAAACAUCAGAUAAACUCCAAAGUUUUUUCUGUCUCAAUAUAAGUACAAUUGAAAGACUUAUUAAAAGAACUCCCUUUAUUUGACGGUAGUGUUGUCGUACGUAUAGUUUAAACUAGUCGACUUGAAUGAGGGAGGCAGGCCUUAAUCAACUGCGAAUUUGCGCAGAUCUAUGUAGGCAAACUCGUAGUUGAUUAAGGCCUGCCUCCUUCAUAUGUGAUCGUUCGAACUAUAAAGUAUCCGCACCGUCUUAGUCUUAUUACGGGGAAUACAAAAGACGGAUCAUUCUCUCGUCCGUAGAGUCAAGACGUCACACAGGAGGGAGCUGGAACUCCUGUAGAAGACUUUCACAGGUCUAGAAGA